UUCCCUAGAAGGGUGCUGCAGGUAAAAGAGAUGGAAGAAGAAAAGCUGUGUUAUCAGAGGUUAACAACAGAUGGAAAACAGUUUCUGCAAGACGCAGAGAAUGGAAAAACAAUAAUACAGUGCCAGACAAAAUCCUGCAUGAUGCACUGAAUUUAAAAGUAAAAAACGACCACCACCAACAAAAAGGAGACAACACAGAACAGACGUUCAGAUGUUUAUCUGUUAAGUUAUUCAGCAAAUUUGCACAUUAUUCUAUCCAUGAUCUUCUGUGAACAGGGUGUGGUCCUUAUAAAGCUUUCUUAUUCAUAUAUGAA